CUGGGCCGUUACUGACGCUGAGGAGCGAAAGCGUGGGGAGCGAACAGGAUUAGAUACCCUGGUAGUCCACGCCGUAAACGGUGGAUGCUGGAUGUGGGGCCCUUUCCACGGGUCCCGUGUCGGAGCCAACGCGUUAAGCAUCCCGCCUGGGGAGUACGGCCGCAAGGCUAAAACUCAAAGAAAUUGACGGGGGCCCGCACAAGCGGCGGAGCAUGCGGAUUAAUUCGAUGCAACGCGAAGAACCUUACCUGGGCUUGACAUGUUCCCGACAGCCGUAGAGAUAUGGCCUCCCUUCGGGGCGGGUUCACAGGUGGUGCAUGGUCGUCGUCAGCUCGUGUCGUGAGAUGUUGGGUUAAGUCCCGCAACGAGCGCAACCCUCGCCCUGUGUUGCCAGCACGUCGUGGUGGGAACUCACGGGGGACCGCCGGGGUCAACUCGGAGGAAGGUGGGGAUGACGUCAGAUCAUCAUGCCCCUUACGUCCAGGGCUUCACGCAUGCUACAAUGGCCGGUACAACGGGAUGCGACACGGCGACGUGGAGCGGAUCCCUGAAAACCGGUCUCAGUUCGGAUUGGAGUCUGCAACCCGACUCCAUGAAGGCGGAGUCGCUAGUAAUCGCGGAUCAGCAACGCCGCGGUGAAUGCGUUCCCGGGCCUUGUACACACCGCCCGUCAAGUCAUGAAAGUGGGCAGCACCCGAAGCCGGUGGCCUAACCCCUUGUGGGAUGGAGCCGUCUAAGGUGAGGCUCGUGAUUGGGACUAAGUCGUAACAAGGUAGCCGUACCGGAAGGUGCGGCUG
rnacentral:rRNA from 1 species